AGAGUUUGAUCCUGGCUCAGGAUGAACGCUAGCGGCAGGCCUAACACAUGCAAGUCGAGGGGUAACAGGGUAGCAAUAUCGCUGACGACCGGCGCACGGGUGAGUAACGCGUAUGCAACCUUCCUUUAACUGGGGGAUAGCCCGGAGAAAUUCGGAUUAAUACCCCAUAACAUUGCGGAGAGGCAUCUUUCUGCAAUUAAAGCUCCGGCGGUUAAAGAUGGGCAUGCGUGCCAUUAGCUAGUUGGUGAGGUAACUGCUCACCAAGGCUACGAUGGCUAGGGGGUCUGAGAGGAUGAUCCCCCACACUGGUACUGAGACACGGACCAGACUCCUACGGGAGGCAGCAGUGAGGAAUAUUGGGCAAUGGGCGCAAGCCUGACCCAGCCAUGCCGCGUGAAGGAUGAAUGCCCUAUGGGUUGUAAACUUCUUUUGUACGGGACGAAACUCUUGGUCGUGACCAGGAUUGACUGUACCGUGCGAAUAAGCAUCGGCUAACUCCGUGCCAGCAGCCGCGGUAAUACGGAGGAUGCAAGCGUUAUCCGGAUUCAUUGGGUUUAAAGGGUGCGUAGGCGGAAUAAUAAGUCAGUGGUGAAAGCCUGUGGCUCAACCAUAGAAUUGCCAUUGAUACUGUUAUUCUUGAGUAUAGUUGAAGUGGGCGGAAUGUGUAAUGUAGCGGUGAAAUGCUUAGAUAUUACACAGAACACCAAUUGCGAAGGCAGCUCACUAAGCUGUUACUGACGCUGAAGCACGAAAGCGUGGGGUUUUUAUGGGGGAUAUAACCGUUCAGGGAUGUUAUGGGAGGAGCGAAUAAAGUUGUUACUGUAGAGGGGAUUUAAGGGAGAAAAAGCGUUCAAAGAUCAAAAGAGGAUAUGUAGUUCGUUCCUAACGCCAAUCGGGAGAAAACAUUUUGGAGUUAAGGUAGGAUAGAGUGCGAAGGUGAAUCAUUACGGAGAGCUGUGAAGGGUGGGAUUCGAUCUUACGGGGGAAAACCAGGGAUUCUUGUAAGUAGGGGGUAUUCGAAGGAUGUGGCAGUGGUUGUUAGUAAAGCUGCGAUACCGUAGAGGGGUCAGGAUUAAGUUCGCGUAUGCGAGCUGCAACCCCUAUUGUUAGUUACAAGGCGGGUAAUGCCGGGAAUCUCAGUCGGACCUGACGGUGUAAUUUGAGUGGAAGGGGGGGAGGAGUUCAAAUCAGCAGAGGCCCUUAUGUACAGGGGUACACACGUGUUACAUUGACUGGUACAAAGGGCAGAUAUGCCGUGAGGCAAUGCUAAUCUCUAAAUCCGGUCUCAGUUCGGAUCGAAGUGUGCAACUUGAAUUCGUGAAGGUGGAUUCGUUAGUAAUCGCGCAUCAGCAAUGGCGCGGUGAAUACGUUCCCGGGCCUUGUACACACCGCCCGUCAAGCCAUGGAAGCUGGGGGUACCUGAAGUCUGCAGCCGUAAGGAGCGGCCUAGGGUAAAAACAGUGACUGGGGCUAAGUCGUAACAAGGUAGCCG
rnacentral:rRNA from 1 species